ensembl:lncRNA LINC01301 long intergenic non-protein coding RNA 1301
GUGGCCCGGUUAUCUUCUGUCGUGUAGGAGGAAGUCCAGAGCCACGGAAAUUCGCCUGAGUCGAAGCUGUUAAAGAGGCCAAGAAUUCCCAAGCUUUCCCAGGCAAACGGGGAAGAACACUGGGAUGCCUUUUCCUCCUCCUCUGUCCAUCUGCAGGCCAAGUGUGCAUCAGUCACAGGCAAACUCUGAAUUGAGCUUUGUGCAAGUCUCUGGAAAGAGACCCAAGAUCGUGUGAUGAGCAAAAGUGACAGUGCUGGAGGCAGCGACAUCUGCAGAGCCAGCCCCAUCCCUAUCUGCAGCAGAAUAUGUAUGGGGAUCCUUUAUGUGAACAAUCCACCCAGGGUAGAAUGGGGCUUUUGACAUCAGCUGAGACCCAGGCGGCCUUACAAUGAGAGGGCUGUUGGUCAAAGGAAGGACUGUUUAAUGAACUGAGAAUCUGAGGCCAGCUCUGGCCAUCUGCACUUGGAAUCAUUAGAGCAACUCUACUGUAACUGGCAACCUUGAAUAAUGCAGCAAAUUCAUAUUCCAAAAUUGUGAACUUUAAAAUUUUGUGUUUGUGUCUAUGAUGAAAAGCAUUAUAUAAACAUUUGAUACUACAAUUUUAUUAGUAAGGAAGGCUGAAAAAGUAUCUCUCUUUUGACUCUGAGGUCAAUAAUGAUAAUGGCUUUUCCCCUACACUGGGAUAGAAAUGUUCUGUCAAGGAUAUGAAAACACUUUAUGAAAAUGAAAUUCAUUAAAGCCCUUAAUAAUCAGGUAGGGAAGGCAGGUGCUCACAAUUGUCACCUGUUGGUGAGUGAACACCUUAGGCUCGGGGAGGACAAUGACUCAAGAACAAGGUCGAAUUGCAGGUGGGGGGUGAAGCUGAUCCCUAACAGUGUCCUCCAGCCCCUGGCACUGAGGAAGGACAUGGAGGGCUUGCAUCGACUUUUCCUGGCAGGCUUGUGAUUCCCAGCCAGAAUGCAGGUGGCAAUGUUGUGAUUCCUGGCGUAACCUUCAAUGCUUCAAUGAUAAUCUCUGCUGGUGCCAGGCACCAGCUGAGUGUCACUGUGCAGCUCCCAGGCUUAAGUGAUGCAUGCCGAGGUUUUCAGAGCAGUCUCUCAUUUAUUAGUUGUGUUGGAAAGAAAUCUGUACUACCUAACUGGGUACCUCUGGAUUUUAACAGCUGUGGUUUAUAAGAGAUAUGAGAGGGGGUUUGUUUUCAAAGUGCCUUUCACAAAGUAACACCUUAGACUGUAGUUUACAUUCCAUUCCAGUAGGAUAACUUGCAACACUUCUGUGCUCAGAAAUCCAACUGUGCAAGAAAAGUCAGGUUAUAUUUUCAUACAGCCCGUUCUGGCAAAUAUGCCUUCACACCACUUUCCCUCCUCCUCACCGCUAUUGGCAAUAGUCCCAAUGGAAGAGUUUUAUGUCAAAUGCUGAGUAUCUUGGAAGCUGUCCUGCACAGACACGACUGCUUGGCUGCGUGUUGGAGAGUCGCGGUUGGACUGGGAGACCAGGAAGGUCCCUUCUGGUCUGAGAUGUGAUGACUCUAGAACUAAUUAGUUUCAACUCAUAACACGAAAUGAUACUAGCUACCAUUUGGUGGGCUUUUUCUGUGUUCCAGGCUCUGUGCUAAGAUCUUAGCAUUACUCUAAUUACAAAAUCCCUGCCAAUAUUAUCCUCAGUUUACGCAAGAACAAAUGGGUUUAGGGAAAUCAAAAACUUGUCCAAUGACACAGAUUUAAGAUUUAGCAACUGAUGGCCACGUGGAAAUGGAUUACAGAUUAUUCUAAUUGGACACUCUAAACGUGCAAUUUAACCAGAAUGAAAUUUAGGGCUGCGUGCUGUGGCUCAUGCCUGUAAUCCUAGCACUUUGGGAAGCCAGGUGUAUCCCUUAAGCCCAGGAGUUUGAGAGCAACUUGGGCAACAUGGUGAAACCUGUAUCUACAAAAAAUACAAAAAUUAGCCAGGU